UACGGAGGGUGCGAGCGUUGUCCGGAAUCAUUGGGCGUAAAGGGCGCGUAGGUGGCCCGGUCAGCGUGCGGUGAAAGCUCGGGGCUCAACCCCGAGUCGGCCGUGCGAACUGCUGGGCUUGAGCACUGUAGAGGCAGGCGGAAUUCCGGGUGUAGCGGUGGAAUGCGUAGAGAUCCGGAAGAACACCGGUGGCGAAGGCGGCCUGCUGGGCAGUGGCUGACACUGAGGCGCGACAGCGUGGGGAGCAAACAGGA
rnacentral:rRNA from 1 species